rnacentral:rRNA from 1 species
AGUAGUUUGAUCCGUGGCUCGAGGACGAACGCUGGCGGCGUGCUUAACACAUGCAAGUCGAACGGGGCGAUUUGAAAGCUUGCUUUUGAUGAGCCUAGUGGCAAACGGGUGAGUAACGCGUAGGCAACCUGCCCUCAGGAUGGGGACAACGGCCCGAAAGGACCGCUAAUACCGAAUGAAGUAUUGGAAUCGCAUGAUACUGAUACCAAAGGCGGAGCAAUCCGUCACCUGAGGAUGGGCCUGCGUCUGAUUAGGUAGUUGGUGAGGUAACGGCCCACCAAGCCGACGAUCAGUAGCCGGUCUGAGAGGAUGAACGGCCACAUUGGGACUGAGACACGGCCCAGACUCC